CCUACGGGAGGCUGCAGUGGGGAAUAUUGGACAAUGGGGGGAACCCUGAUCCAGCGACGCCGCGUGAGUGAAGAAGUAUUUCGGUAUGUAAAGCUCUAUCAGCAGGGAAGAAAGAAAUGACGGUACCUGACUAAGAAGCCCCGGCUAACUACGUGCCAGCAGCCGCGGUAAUACGUAGGGGGCAAGCGUUAUCCGGAUUUACUGGGUGUAAAGGGAGCGUAGACGGCGAUGCAAGUCUGAAGUGAAAGGCGGGGGCGCAACCCCCGGACUGCUUUGGAAACUGUAUGGCUGGAGUGCAGGAGAGGUAAGUGGAAUUCCUAGUGUAGCGGUGAAAUGCGUAGAUAUUAGGAGGAACACCAGUGGCGAAGGCGGCUUACUGGACUGUAACUGACGUUGAGGCUCGAAAGCGUGGGGAGCAAACAGGAUUAGAUACCCCUGUAGUC
rnacentral:rRNA from 1 species